rnacentral:lncRNA from 1 species
UUAGACUCACCAAUCCAUCAUAGUGUGAGGUUGAUGUUGAUGUUAUAAUGAGUUUUAUAGGGACUUUCUUGAUGUAAAACUAUACAUUUUUAUUUUUUUUGUUUAAUAUGGUAUUUCCAUUUUAAUAUAAUUUACUACCUUUUUAAGAUAGAUGUACAUUUUAAGAUAGAUGCUUAAAUCUUAAUGUUCUUUUUAUAUUUUUUAAAAUGUUUAUUUCCAUUUCUUUUAUUUUUUUUACGUAAUAUCUAUAUUUUAUAUUUUAAAAUAGAUAUUUAAAUCUUAAUUUACUUUUUCCAUUUUUUCAAAUUGUGUAUUUACUUAUAUUAUAUAUUUUACAUUUUAAGAUAGAUGUUUAAUGCUUAAUGAACUUUUUCCAUUUUUUUAAAAAAGUUGUGUAUUUACUUAUUAUUAUAUAGAUAAUUAUAUAUUAUAUAUUUACAUUAUUUACUUAUUAUUUAUUGAUAAUUCAUAUAUUAUAUAUUUAAUGCUUAAUGUUUAUUUCCACUUCAUGACUUUUUAUUUACUUAAUAUCUCUAUUUUACAUUUUAAGAUAGAUGUUUAAAUCUUAAUGUACGUUUUCCUUUUUUUUUUAAAUUGUAUAUUUCCA